rnacentral:rRNA from 1 species
CUGACUGUGCUAAGGUAGCAUAAUAAUUUGUGGAUUAAUUGUCUACCAGAAUAAAUGGUCUGACGAAAAAUAAUCUUUCUCCUUUAAAGUUUAAAUUAAUUUAUAAAUAAAAAAGUUUAUUUUCUUUAAAAAGACGAUAAGACCCUAAAACCUUCAUAAACUAAAAAUUAUUUUGCUGGGGCGGCAAAUUAUUACCUCCUAAUUGAUAGGAACAUAAUUAAUGAACUUUAACUUACUAAAAAUAAAUUCAAAAAGGUACUUUAGGGAUAACAGUAUAAUUUUUAUCUAGAGUAACUUAUCGACAUAAAAGAUUAUAACCUCGAUGUUGAAUUGAUAUUCUUUAUUAAGCAGCCAUAAUAUCAGUAAGUCUGUUCGACUUAUAAAUAUCACGUGAUCUGAGUUCAGACCGGA